GAUGAAGAACGUAGCAAAAUGCGAUAAGUAAUGUGAAUUGCAGAAUUCAGUGAAUCAUCGAAUCUUUGAACGCACAUUGCGCCCGCCGGUAUUCCGGCGGGCAUGCCUGUUCGAGCGUCAUUUCAACCCUCAAGCCCCCGGGUUUGGUGUUGGGGAUCGGCUCUGCCCUUCUGGGCGGUGCCGCCCCCGAAAUACAUUGGCGGUCUCGCUGCAGCCUCCAUUGCGUAGUAGCUAACACCUCGCAACUGGAACGCGGCGCGGCCAUGCCGUAAAACCCCAACUUCUGAAUGUUGACCUCGGAUCAGGUAGGAAUACCCGCUGAACUUAAGCAUAUCAAUAAGCGGAGGA
rnacentral:misc_RNA from 1 species